UCGAGAAUCAUUCGCAAUGGGCGAAAGCCUGACGAUGCGACGCCGUGUGAGCGAAGAAGGCCUUCGGGUCGUAAAGCUCUUUCGCUUGGGAACAAGAAAGGCUGACUAAUAUUCAGCUAAUUUGAGCGUACCAGGUAAAGAAGCACCGGCUAACUCCGUGCCAGCAGCUGCGGUAAUACGGAGGGUGCAAGCAUUAAUCGGAUUUAUUGGGCGUAAAGGGCGCGUAGGCGGGGAUAUAAGUCAGACGUGA
rnacentral:rRNA from 1 species